AUUGAACGCUGGCGGCAUGCUUUACACAUGCAAGUCGAACGGCAGCACGGGUGCUUGCACCUGGUGGCGAGUGGCGGACGGGUGAGUAAUACAUCGGAACGUAUCCUGAAGUGGGGGAUAACGCAUCGAAAGACGUGCUAAUACCGCAUAUACUCUGAGGAGGAAAGUAGGGGAUCGAAAGACCUUAUGCUUUUGGAGCGGCCGAUGUCUGAUUAGCUAGUUGGUAAGGUAAUGGCUUACCAAGGCAACGAUCAGUAGUUGGUCUGAGAGGACGACCAGCCACACUGGGACUGAGACACGGCCCAGACUCCUACGGGAGGCAGCAGUGGGGAAUUUUGGACAAUGGGCGCAAGCCUGAUCCAGCAAUGCCGCGUGAGUGAAGAAGGCCUC
rnacentral:rRNA from 1 species